rnacentral:lncRNA from 1 species
AGGGGGUUAUCAGGAAAUACGGAAGAAAGGCCCACAUGUCGGGAUUACAUAGAGAUAUCAACGCACCGCGCAAUUUUCUAUCAUCUAGAAGACUCCAGAAGCCACGGGAACGAACGAGAAGGCAAACGGGCCCGGGGGCAGGGCGCCCGCCCAGGUGUUUCCACCAAUCACAGAAUGGAGUCCACCAUUGCAAAGAUCUC